rnacentral:rRNA from 1 species
UGGCGGACGGGUGAGUAAUGUCUGGGAAACUGCCUGGUGGAGGGGGAUAACUACUGGAAACGGUAGCUAAUACCGCAUAACGUCGCAAGACCAAAGAGGGGGACCUUCGGGCCUCUUGCCAUCGGAUGUGCCCAGAUGGGAUUAGCUAGUAGGUGGGGUAACGGCUCACCUAGGCGACGAUCCCUAGCUGGUCUGAGAGGAUGACCAGCCACACUGGAACUGAGACGCGGUCCAG